rnacentral:rRNA from 1 species
UUGAACGCUGGCGGCAGGCCUCACACAUGCAGGUCGAGCGGAUGAAGGGAGCUUGCUCCUGGAUUCAGCGGCGGACGGGUGAGUAAUGCCUAGGAAUCUGCCUGGUAGUGGGGGAUAACGUCCGGAAACGGGCGCUAAUACCGCAUACGUCCUGAGGGAGAAAGUGGGGGAUCUUCGGACCUCACGCUAUCAGAUGAGCCUAGGUCGGAUUAGCUAGUUGGUGGGGUAAAGGCCUACCAAGGCGACGAUCCGUAACUGGUCUGAGAGGAUGAUCAGUCACACUGGAACUGAGACACGGUCCAGACUCCUACGGGAGGCAGCAGUGGGGAAUAUUGGACAAUGGGCGAAAGCCUGAUCCAGCCAUGCCGCGUGUGUGAAGAAGGUCUUCGGAUUGUAAAGCACUUUAAGUUGGGAGGAAGGGCAGUAAGUUAAUACCUUGCUGUUUUGACGUUACCAACAGAAUAAGCACCGGCUAACUUCGUG